rnacentral:rRNA from 1 species
GUGAGGAAUAUUGCGCAAUGGGCGAAAGCCUGACGCAGCGACGCCGCGUGAGGGAAGACGGCCUUCGGGUUGUAAACCUCUUUUGUACGGGAAGAAGGACGUGACGGUACCGUGCGAAUAAGUCCCGGCUAACUACGUGCCAGCAGCCGCGGUAAUACGUAGGGGACGAGCGUUGUCCGGAAUUACUGGGCGUAAAGGGCGCGCAGGCUGUAGAUCAAGUCAGCUGUGAAAUGUCUGGGCUUAACCCGGGCAUGCGGUUGAAACUGAUGUACUGGAGUGCUGUAGAGGCAAGUGGAAUUCCCAGUGUAGCGGUGAAAUGCGUAGAUAUUGGGAAGAACACCGGUGGCGAAGGCGACUUGCUGGGCAGCAACUGACGCUGAGGCGCGAAAGCCAGGGGAGCAAACGGGAUUAGAUACCCGAGUAGUCC